GUCCAGGGUUUCCCCUAAGUCAAUUAUUUUUUUCGCCACCUCUUUCGCAAAAACAAUAUAUUUUUCGCCACUUUAUUAUUUUUUUCGCCAAGUAACAUCACUAUAUUUUUCGUUUAAAAUUAACCUUUUUUUCUUACCCCCUCCCCUUUUCCCUUAAAUAAGGUGAUUUUGCCCCAUUGUGUCUAUGAUUAUUCUGUCAAACUUAUUUUAGAGUCUACAUUUAAUGAAUAAACACUAAACAUUUACUUUAAAACAACAGAUUUUGUUUUUAACAUAAAAGGGAAAAAUAUUCAUUGUAUUUUAAACAUCUUUUCUAAAUGAGGGGGCCACUAUACUUUUAAUAAUAAAGAAGAUAUAAGUCCUGGAAUACAACAAAAUUAAUGGACAUGUUUUGAUUAUAUAAUACCAGUAUAGUUCGUAGGGAAAGUUUCUUUAAAAGAAAAAUAUUGAUGUGCCCUUUUGUACUAAGAAGUGGUUUUUACAACAAAACAAAAGCUUUUAUCACAUGAUAUUUUGAUCCCUCAUUUCAUGUGUAGUCAUAAGAUUGAAGGGCUACUCUCAUUAGAGGGUUUGUUCCUAACCUUUUAGAUAGAUUUCUUCAUAACGACAGUUUUCUUUUCUUGACCAUCGUAAAUGAAAAAGUUGAGACGUAAAACUAUGCUUGAAACACACGUGUCACUCAAACGACUUAAAGUAGUCUCCCUAAUCAAUUACCUAUAUUAAAGUCAAAGGAUAAUUAAAGUUUUAAAUCAGAGAUUUUUCUUGCUUUUGAAAAUUUUUCGUCACAACAUCAGCUUUCUUUUCUAAACUAUCUUUAAAAGGAGAGGAGACGUCAAAAGUUUGCUUCAAACACGUGCGUCGCAAAGUGGUAAAUACAUUCUGUAUGUGACAUUUAGCGGAAGCCAUUUAACCAUUCAGUCAACACCUUUAUUAAUUAGUCCUUUGUUGUCGAUAGCUAUAAAAUGCAAUCAGCUGAUUAAUGAUUUUCUGUCCAAAUCUUAAUGAGGUCAAGGUGAAUUCCGAGUAUUGUCUGAUGAGGUAAAGUCCGAGAAACUCGAAAAAAGUAAAUAAACAAGAUGGAGGAAAAUAAAUGGUUCUAUAUAUUUCUUUCGCCAAAUUCUUUCGCAAAUGACGAAUUUUUAUCGCCACAAUUAUUAUUUUUUCGCAAAUUGCGAAAAUGGCGACCGCCAGCGGAAACCCUGGUU
rnacentral:lncRNA from 1 species